AACGAACGCUGGCGGCAUGCCUAACACAUGCAAGUCGAACGAGACCUUCGGGUCUAGUGGCGCACGGGUGCGUAACGCGUGGGAACCUGCCCUUAGGUUCGGAAUAACUCCCCGAAAGGGGUGCUAAUACCGGAUAAUGUCUUCGGACCAAAGAUUUAUCGCCGUUGGAUGGGGCCGCGUUGGAUUAGCUAGUUGGUAGGGUAAAAGCCUACCAAGGCGACGAUCCAUAGCUGGUCUGAGAGGAUGAUCAGCUACACUGGGAAUGAGACACGGCCCAGACUCCUACGGGAGGGAGCAGAGGGGAAUAUUGGACAAGGGGCGAAAGCCUGAUCCAGCAAUGCCGCGUGAGUGAUGAAGGCCUUAGGGUUGUAAAGCUCUUUUACCCGGGAUGAUAAUGACAGUACCGGGAGAAUAAGCUCCGGCUAACUCCGUG
rnacentral:rRNA from 1 species